AGAGUUUGAUCCUGGCUCAGGACGAACGCUGGCGGCGUGCUUAACACAUGCAAGUCGAACGGAAAGGCCCUGCUUUUGUGGGGUGCUCGAGUGGCGAACGGGUGAGUAACACGUGAGUAACCUGCCCUUGACUUUGGGAUAACUUCAGGAGACUGGGGCUAAUACCGGAUAGGAGCUCCUGCUGCAUGGUGGGGGUUGGAAAGUUUCGGCGGUUGGGGAUGGACUCGCGGCUUAUCAGCUUGUUGGUGGGGUAGUGGCUUACCAAGGCUUUGACGGGUAGCCGGCCUGAGAGGGUGACCGGCCACAUUGGGACUGAGAUACGGCCCAGACUCCUACGGGAGGCAGCAGUGGGGAAUAUUGCACAAUGGGCGGAAGCCUGAUGCAGCAACGCCGCGUGCGGGAUGACGGCCUUCGGGUUGUAAACCGCUUUCGCCUGUGACGAAGCGUGAGUGACGGUAAUGGGUAAAGAAGCACCGGCUAACUACGUGCCAGCAGCCGCGGUAAUAC
rnacentral:rRNA from 1 species